CGAACGCUGGCGGCGUGCUUAACACAUGCAAGUCGAACGGUGAAGCGCCUUCCUUUUUGGUGGGUGUGGAUGAGUGGCGAACGGGUGAGUAACACGUGAGUAACCUGCCCCCUUCUUCUGGAUAACCGCAUGAAAGUGUGGCUAAUACGGGAUAUUCUGGGUCUGUCGCAUGAUGGGUCUGGGAAAGAUAUUGUUUCGGUGGGGGAUGGGCUCGCGGCCUAUCAGCUUGUUGGUGGGGUGAUGGCCUACCAGGGCGGUGACGGGUAGCGGGCCUGAGGGGGUGGAGGUCUGCGAGGGGGCAGGGCCACGGCCGGACUGACAAGGGGAGCAGGCGGGUGGGGGAGUGACCAGUGGGGAGCAGGCCUGAGGCGGCGGGGCCGGGGGGGGGAGGGGGGCCGUGGGGUUGGACCCCCUUUUGGCAGUGAAAAGAGGCCGCCUUUGUUGGUGGGUGGGUGAAGGUAAGGGGGAAAGAAGCCCCGGCUAAACAAGUG
rnacentral:rRNA from 1 species